rnacentral:rRNA from 1 species
ACUCCUACGGGAGGCAGCAGUAGGGAAUCUUCCACAAUGGGCGCAAGCCUGAUGGAGCAACACCGCGUGAGUAAAGAAGGGUUUCGGCUCGUAAAGCUCUGUUGUUAAAGAAGAACACGUAUGAGAGUAACUGUUCAUACGUUGACGGUAUUUAACCAGAAAGUCACGGCUAACUACGUGCCAGCAGCCGCGGUAAUACGUAGGUGGCAAGCGUUAUCCGGAUUUAUUGGGGCGUAAAGAGAGUGCAGGCGGUUUUCUAAGUCUGAUGUGAAAGCCUUCGGCUUAACCGGAGAAGUGCAUCGGAAACUGGAUAACUUGAGUGCAGAAGAGGGUAGUGGAACUCCAUGUGUAGCGGUGGAAUGCGUAGAUAUAUGGAAGAACACCAGUGGCGAAGGCGGCUACCUGGUCUGCAACUGACGCUGAGACUCGAAAGCAUGGGUAGCGAACAGGAUUAGAUACCCUGGUAGGAUAGCG